GGGCCGCCUACGCGCGCGCGCCCCGGCGGCUGUUGGGGGCAGCGGGUCGGCACAGGCCGUUGUGCGCGCGCCGCCUGAGGCGGACGCGGGUCCCGGCAGGACUGCCCGAGUGCCCUGCUCUGUGCUCUCUCUCCUGCUCAGCUUCGAAACGUGCCUAGCGGGCCUGGAGGCUGUACUCUGUCCAGCAGCGAGAGACGCGACAGCGAGACAGCUCUUCCCGAGCUGGGACUCGGUCUCAGAAGAAUUGCAACCACACUAUUCCGUGAGUGCUGGAGCUACCUCAUAAUUUCUUCCCCUUUCUUUAAAAAAAACCCCAAACCCAAAAACAAUCCACAACUUUUUGUACUUCUGUGAAUAGAAAGAUGAACUACUCUUUACGAACCAAGUUUCUGCUGUUGUAUUUGUUGCGAAGGCCUAUGCAGAAUCUGAAGGCUAAAGCGUGAACCCUAAAAGUCAAAUUUUUUUCUAGCUAAACUCAUUAUUUCAUCCUUACAACCAAACUUCAUGCAUUUAGAAAAGAUCUAAAAGAGCACACUUUUCAGUAGAGCCACAUCUUUCCAACCUUUUUUUGGUACAGGUAUCACCGUACCUUAAAGAAAUAUCCAACGACCAUCUUACGCGGUGUUGGUGUGGUAGGUUUCAUCUUCAGUCAAAUAAAAAUCAAACUAAACUUC